rnacentral:snRNA from 1 species
AUGCUCGCUUCAGCAGCACAUAUACUAAAAUUGAAACAAUACAGAGAAGAUUAUCAUGGCCCCAACGUAAGGAUGACACGCAACUUCAUGAAGAGUUCCAUGUAUUU